GAGACAUCCGAGUAUGAUAAGCUAGUGUUGAAUUAAUAAUUCAAAAUGUUAUGCUUGAGAAAUUUGCAACGAAGAAUUUUAUGGAUAUUUGAUAAGGCUUUAUCGAUGGUGUAAGGUGUUCUGAUUUGCCGUUCGAUUAUCUCGAAUAUGGAGAGGGAGAUCGAGUGAGUGGACCACUGGGACAUCGAAUCACCGAGAAAUGCAGUGAAAAAUAAAAGAGGAAAAAGAAUUGUUCCGAGCACUCGACCUUUGACCGAUUCACAAUUAAACGAGUUCUUUCGUCUGCCAAUUAAAGUCAAAAGCGUUCAUAUCACUCCGUUCACCGCUACAUUGAAAUGUCAUACGAGGAAUUCGCAAAAAAUGUCAAGAUUUUUACCUUGGAAUUUUAAAAAUAAAAAAUCCACGUAAAUCACACAAAAUGGAAUAAAAUAAAAAAAAAUUUAUGAAUUAUUUGAAUGGGCGUAACCGAUGCAAAGCGCGAAAAAAUACCGCACGGCUGAAUCAUCAAUUGCCAUACGCGAGAGUAUAUUUUCGUCGGCAUUCACUGAUGACCGAUCAUUGCGCCGGAAAGAUUUCGAAAAUGUGUGAAACAUUGAGCAGAAGGGGGAUACCCCCCAACCCUACGUCACAAUCAAUAUAAUUGUAUAACAAAGCCUGAAUAAAUCAUUGCAGAGCCGAUGCCAACACUUGCAUCAGAAAAGAUAUGAAAGAAAAAUACCUAAAUUAUUCGAUAACGGAUAAUGAAAAAAAGCAUCAAUCUCAUGUGGACAUGAACGAUAUGAUGCUGUCUCUCUCACUUGCAAACUGCGUCUCAACGAUAAAUUAUCAUCGAGUGGCUCAACCGUUUGAGGUGAAGAAACUCGCAACGAGCGUUACGCCCACACGACCCUGAC